rnacentral:pre_miRNA from 1 species
AUACUACUCCCUCCGUCCAAAAAUACUUGUCGGAGAAAUGGAUGUAUCUAGACAUAUUUUAGUUGUAGAUACAUCCAUUUUUAUCCAUUUCUGCGACAAAUAAUUCCGGACGGAGGGAGUACUAG